rnacentral:rRNA from 1 species
UACGUAGGGGGCAAGCGUUAUCCGGAAUUACUGGGUGUAAAGGGAGCGUAGACGGUAAUGUAAGUCUGGAGUGAAAGGCGGGGGCCCAACCCCCGGACUGCUCUGGAAACUAUGUUACUAGAGUGCAGGAGAGGUAAGCGGAAUUCCUAGUGUAGCGGUGAAAUGCGUAGAUAUUAGGAGGAACACCAGUGGCGAAGGCGGCUUACUGGACUGUAACUGACGUUGGGGCUCGAAAGCGUGGGGAGCAAACAGG